CGUGUAGGCGGCCAAACAGGUCCGUUGUGAAAACUGGAGGCUUAACCUCCAGACGUCGACGGAAACCGUAUGGCUAGAGUCCGGAAGAGGAGAGUGGAAUUCCUGGUGUAGCGGUGAAAUGCGCAGAUAUCAGGAAGAACACCUACGGCGAAGGCAGCUCUCUGGGACGGUACUGACGCUGAGACGCGAAAGCGUGGGGAGCGAACA
rnacentral:rRNA from 1 species